rnacentral:rRNA from 1 species
AUUGAACGCUGGCGGCAGGCCUAACACAUGCAAGUCGAACGGUAACAGGAAGAAGCUUGCUUCUUUGCUGACGAGUGGCGGACGGGUGAGGAAUGUCUGGGAAACUGCCUGAUGGAGGGGGAUAACUACUGGAAACGGUAGCUAAUACCGCAUAACGUCGCAAGACCAAAAAGGGGGACCUUCGGGCCUCUUGCCAUCGGAUGUGCCCAGAUGGGAUUAGCUAGUAGGUGGGGUAACGGCUCACCUAGGCGACGAUCCCUAGCUGGUCUGAGAGGAUGACCAGCCACACUGGAACUGAGACACGGUCCAGACUCCUACGGGAGGCAGCAGUGGGGAAUAUUGCACAAUGGGCGCAAGCCUGAUGCAGCCAUGCCGCGUGUAUGAAGAAGGCCUUCGGGUUGUAAAGUACUUUCAGCGGGGAGGAAGGGAGUAAAGUUAAUACCUUUGCUCAUUGACGUUACCCGCAGAAGAAGCACCGGCUAACUCCGUG